rnacentral:lncRNA from 1 species
UCUUGCCUCCCCACCUUCUGCUUAGAGUGCCCCAAGAAUCAUCACCUCAGAUGUGCUUUGUCCCAGCAAAGGAAUCUCACAGACUGGGAGCCAGGAGGCCCGGCUUUGGGGCCCAGCUCUGCCAUAGACUCCUUCAGCAUGUGACCUGUGCCCAGCGAUGACUCCCAGCUCUGCUGGGUCUCAAACCAGAAGAAACAGAACAAGGCCAGAGACACAAUCAAGGAUGAGGAAGGGGCCAGGCCUGGGAUGAGGAUGCAGAGACAAUAAGAACCACCCAGGUGCCUGGCUUCACUUGCAGAGUUACUCCUGCCCCAGUUUAAACUGCUACAAAUAAAUUGUGUGUGUGUGUGUGUCCCGAGAGCUGGCGAUCCCUCAUCAGCCUAACUCCUUACUCCCAACAUCAGGACCACCAAGCAGAGGGCAAAACUAGGAGGCAGGAGACUAGAGGUCUGGUCUGCCUGCCCCACCCCCCCUCUGCUGUGGCUAUCUGCAGUGUAACUUUAGACCAGUCACUGAAUCUGUCCCCCAACCCCCAGCCUUUGUUUCUUCAUCUACAAAAUUGAAGAGGAGGUUGACCAGAGGACCUGUUUAUACUCUAG